UACGUAGGGUGCGAGCGUUAAUCGGAAUUACUGGGCGUAAAGCGGGCGCAGGCGGUUCGUUAAGUCAGAUGUGAAAUCCCCGGGCUCAACCUGGGAACUGCGUUUUGAACUGGCGGACUAGAGUGUGGCAGAGGGGGGUGGAAUUCCAUGUGUAGCGGUGAAAUGCGUAGAGAUGUGGAGGAAUACCGGUGGCGAAGGCGGCCCCCUGGACAAAGACUGACGCUCAGGUGCGAAAGCGUGGGGAGCGAACAGG
rnacentral:rRNA from 1 species